UUCAAACAAGAGUGAAGCUUUAAAUCUUUUAUUACAAGUUUCAAACUAUUUCUUCCGUUCGAAUUGCAGAUGGCAUUUCUGGUUUUAACGUUUCACGAUGACCUGAGAGAAAACUUCACUUGGGGAUGAAGUUUCGAUAUUUAAUUCAGACUUGAUGCAUGGAUUAUCACGGUUUAAAAGCAAGACUCGCGGACUUGAGGAGUGCAGAAUUAGCAGCACUUCGUCGAGGAGACAAUAAGGCUGCAGAGAGGUGCAAAGAAAGAGCAUUUGCCCUCCGGAAUCAGUGGAUGACUUAUCAAGCCUCCCUGUGCGCGCAGCUGGAGACAUUUAGCGAGAGUGAAAACGAGCUUGGCGACGCUGAGAGUGAUGGUUACCGCAGUUUGGAUGAUAACCGAG